rnacentral:tRNA from 147 species
GCCCCGAUGGCGAAAUUGGUAGACGCAAGGGACUUAAAAUCCCUCGUCCUUUGGACGUGCCGGUUCGACCCCGGCUCGGGGCACCA